UAGCAUUUAUGCAAAGAGUUUUCAGCUAUGGUAUUGCGAAAGCCAUACUAAAAAUAUUAGUCGACGACCUAAAAUUCUCGCUCAUUACUAGCACUUGGAAUGGUAAAAUUUGCUUAGUAUUGUAAAUUACAGGCAACGAAGAAUUGGGAAACUGUUGAACUCUGUCGAUUGUCGGAAAGCUGAAUGCCUAACAGCUUUUAUUUUCUCAAACCGACGAAAGUGGAUUGGUCUUUGGUGUGUUGUUUAUAUGGAAUAUGUACAUUCUGUGCAAUCGUCUUUCAUUCUUCAGUGUUGACAAGUGAAAUGACAAAUAUGAGG